GACGAACGCUGGCGGCGUGCCUAAUACAUGCAAGUCGAGCGGGCCUCCGGAGGUGCUUGCACCUCCGGAAGGCCAGCGGCGGACGGGUGAGUAACACGUGGGCAACCUGCCUUUGAGGCCGGGAUAACACCGGGAAACCGGUGCUAAUACCGGGUACGUCCUCUUUCGCGCCUGCGAGGGGGGAGAAAGACGGUCUUUAAGGCCGUCGCUCAAAGAGGGGCCCGCGGCGCAUUAGCUGGUUGGUGGGGCAAGGGCCUACCAAGGCGACGAUGCGUUGCCGACCUGAGAGGGUGAUCGGCCACACUGGGACUGAGACACGGCCCAGACUCCUGCGGGAGGCAGCAGUAGGGAAUCAUCCGCAAUGGGCGAAAGCCUGACGGUGCAACGCCGCGUGAGUGAGGAAGGUUUUCGGAUCGUAAAGCUCUGUUGUGAGGGAAGAACAGCAUCCGGAGGAAAUGCCGGAGGUUUGCCGGUACCUCACCAGAAAGCCCCGGCUAACUACGUGCCAGCCGCCGCGGUAAUAC
rnacentral:rRNA from 1 species